rnacentral:rRNA from 1 species
CAGUAGCCGCGGUAAUACGUAGGGUGCGAGCGUUAAUCGGAAUUACUGGGCGUAAAGCGUGCGCAGGCGGUUCGUUAAGACAGAUGUGAAAUCCCCGGGCUUAACCUGGGAACUGCAUUUGUGACUGGCGAGCUAGAGUAUGGCAGAGGGGGGUAGAAUUCCACGUGUAGCAGUGAAAUGCGUAGAGAUGUGGAGGAAUACCGAUGGCGAAGGCAGCCCCCUGGGCCAAUACUGACGCUCAUGCACGAAAGCGUGGGGAGCAAACAGGAUUAGAUACCCCAGUAGUCCCUGUCUCUUAUAC